AGCUCCAGUAGCGUAUAUUAAAGUUGUUGCAUUUAAAAAGCUCGUAGUUGAUGUUCAACCUGCUGCCGUUGAGAGCUUUUGCGAUUGAUGGCAAGGGUUAGUGAUCGGCUUUAGCCGUUCUCACUGUGAGUAAAUUAGAGUGAUCCAAACAGGCUCCGCCUGAAUGCUUCAGCAUGGCAUGGGUACUUGGCGAGGUUGUAGCUGCGGGUAACCAAGGCUACGGCCACGUAAAGGUUAAGAGGGAAGGAUGAUGGAAUUCGUAUUGGGUUGCUAGAGGUGAAAUUCUUGGACCAACCCAAGACGGUCAGAAGCGAAAGCUUUUUCCACGAACACUCCUG
rnacentral:rRNA from 1 species